CCGGUACCCGUCGAGCCUUCCCAGGGUGGCGCAGUGGCCGGGGCUGUAGGCGCAGUGGCCAGCAUCCUCGUGGCCAGAGCCCGAAGCUGCGGAGAAAGCAGGAGGCUGUUUGGCUAAAGAGAAGAAAAAGAGGAAAAGAAGGAUAGAAAAGGAAGGUCCGGGAAGAAAAAGCCAAUUAGGAGGAAGAAAAUGAGCAAAAACCUUACAUAAAGGAGCCAGCAACAACUAGAGGUGAUAGAAAUGGAUCCAUUACAAGGUAC